CCCUUAGAUGUUCUGGGCCGCACGCGCGCUACACUGAUGCAUUCAACGAGUGUACCUUGGCCGAGAGGCCUGGGCAAUCUUUUGAACGUGCAUCGUGAUAGGGAUAGAUUAUUGCAAUUAUUAAUCUUGAACGAGGAAUUCCUAGUAAACGCAGUUCAUCAAACUGCAUUGAUUACGUCCCUGCCCUUUGUACACACCGCCCGUCGCACCUACCGUUUGGAUGGUCCGGUGAAGCCUCGGGAUUGUGGCGGUUGCCUUUAUUGGUGGCCGCCGCGAGAACUUGUCUAAACCUUAUCAUCUAGAGGAAGGUGAAGUCGUAACA
rnacentral:rRNA from 1 species